AUUGCCCUUACGGCUCAGUAACACGUAGUCAACAUGCCCAAAGGACGUGGAUAACCUCGGGAAACUGAGGAUAAACCGCGAUAGGCCAAGGUUUCUGGAAUGAGCCAUGGCCGAAAUCUACAUGGCCUUUGGAUUGGACUGCGGCCGAUCAGGCUGUUGGUGAGGUAAUGGCCCACCAAACCUGUAACCGGUACGGGCUUUGAGAGAAGGAGCCCGGAGAUGGGCACUGAGACAAGGGCCCAGGCCCUAUGGGGCGCAGCAGGCGCGAAACCUCUGCAAUAGGCGAAAGCCUGACAGGGUUACUCUGAGUGAUGCCCGCUAAGGGUAUCUUUUGGCACCUCUAAAAAUGGUGCAGAAUAAGGGGUGGGCAAGUCUGGUGUCAGCCGCCGCGGUAAUACCAGCACCCCGAGUUGUCGGGACGAUUAUUGGGCCUAAAGCAUCCGUAGCCUGUUCUGCAAGUCCUCCGUUAAAUCCACCCGCUUAACGGAUGGGCUGCGGGGGAUACUGCAGAGCUAGGAGGCGGGAGAGGCAAACGGUACUCAGUGGGUAGGGGUAAAAUCCAUUGAUCUACUGAAGACCACCAGUGGCGAAGGCGGUUUGCCAGAACGCGCUCGACGGUGAGGGAUGAAAGCUGGGGGAGCAAACCGGAUUAGAUACCCGGGUAGUCCCAGCUGUAAACGAUGCAGACUCGGUGAUGGGUUGGCCUCGAGCCAACCCAGUGCCGCAGGGAAGCCGUUAAGUCUGCCGCCUGGGGAGUACGGUCGCAAGACUGAAACUUAAAGGAAUUGGCGGGGGAGCAC
rnacentral:rRNA from 1 species